UGAGAAGAAAAGGAAGUAUGAGCAGCAAGGCACGGGGCAGUCAGGACCCCAGUCCCCCCUUCUCCCCAGGGACUUCCAGAGAAGCCAGAGGGUUCACACUGCACCUUCCUGCCCUUGCUGAAGUGCCCUGCAGUCUGUCUGCCAGGGCAAACGUUUGGGGCUACACAGGCUGGCCUAACAAUGCCACAGGUGCUGAUCUGGAGGGCCGCGAGGAGUGGUGGGGGCACUUAUAAAGAGGAGAGAAAGGAGGGGCUCACCUUCACGAGGCUUCUGAGAAGGGGGUACAAACUGCACAAGUGCAGAGGGCAGGAGAGACCUCAGCAUCUGCCCCGUAUGAGGAGUGUAUCAGAGCUGGGAAGGUGAUUCCAGAGAGGAAAAUGCAAGCUCCACUAAUAUAAAUGAGGUGAGGCAACCAGUGCACAGCAAGGGGUUCUGCAAGACCCAGCAACCUCACAAAUCCAAGGGAGGACCAGCAAUAGCUGGGGACAUGCUCAAGAACCAUGGCCCCCCAGAGCAAGUUCACGAAGCCAGGGCAAGGGGCAGCAGUGAGGACGGAUCUCUCCAUGAGUACUGUGGGUCUUAGCCUCAACUCAUUAAAAGGCCUCUAGAGACAAUAAUUAAAAUAACCAGUGGCUCCUCGAGGAAUGGAGGCUAAGGAGCAAACUGCCAAACUUAUUCUGGGUGGAAUUGGUCACUGUUUUCUAUGGAACACACAAGACUCAAGAAGGGCCAAUGAUCACUCUCACUGGGGGGUUGCCGUUGGCAACUGGAGGGAUGCUCAUACUUAACUGACUUAGAACUGGCUUGUGUUUAGCUUGGCAUGAUGGUAUUCCCAUUGUUUAGUAUUUUAAUUUCAACAUCAAAAUAAAGGCUGGAUAAGGGUGAAUGAGGAGGUAGCUGCCUCACCCAAGACAAGUCUUCAUUUGAAAGGGUAGCUGAUUACAUUUUCCUUAAUUUACAAAUUGUAUUUGACCCACUGUGCAUUUCUUUAAAGGUCGCACAGAGUUUGGGGUAUUCAUUUUCAGAAGAGAAAUGUUAUGGAUCUGCCUUCACUCUAAAUCCCAAAUCAGCCAGAGUUCCUGAGAUGACCAGGGCAGGCUGUUGAUCAAAGUUCAGAGAAAGAAUCAGCACUUGGAACAGGAGUCAACAUCAUAUCCAUCAGUUGGUCAAUCAACAAGUGAUUUAUUGAGAACGCAUUGUGUGCUCAGCAUUUAACUCAAAGAAUCAAAACACUUACAGACAUCAAGUAUGGAUUUUUAGAGAGACAUGGGAUAUGUGGUGAGAGGUUCUCUCAAAUCGUGUCACCGCAACUACUGUAUUUCCAAGCCUAGCUUUGGGCCCCAGAGCCAUCUAUCCGUAGCUAUUCUUGCACUAGCUACUACUUCUCCCACCCCUGAUCCCUUGGCCUCCAGACUGAAUGUCUGGCUCAACAAGACAAAAUGCUUGGCUCCUACGUCUCAGCUGGAGGCAGAUUACAUUCAACUGAGUAAUAGAAUUUGUUCUAUGGGGCAGCAGUAAAAAUACUAGUUUG